GACGAACGCUGGCGGCGUGCUUAACACAUGCAAGUCGAACGGAAAGGCCCUGCAUUUGUGGGGUGCUCGAAUGGCGAACGGGUGAGUAACACGUGAGUAACCUGCCCUUGACUUUGGGAUAACUUCAGGAAACUGGGGCUAAUACCGGAUAGGAGCUCCUGCUGCAUGGUGGGGGUUGGAAAGUUUCGGCGGUUGGGGAUGGACUCGCGGCUUAUCAGCUUGUUGGUGGGGUAGUGGCUUACCAAGGCUUUGACGGGUAGCCGGCCUGAGAGGGUGACCGGCCACAUUGGGACUGAGAUACGGCCCAGACGCAUACGGGAGGCAGCAGUGGGGAAUAUUGCACAAUGGGCGGAAGCCUGAUGCAGCAACGCCGCGUGCGGGAGGACGGCCUUCGGGUUGGAAACCGCUUUCGCCUGUGACGAAGCGUGAGGGACGGUAAUGGGUAAAGAAGCACCGGCUAACUACGU
rnacentral:rRNA from 1 species